rnacentral:lncRNA from 1 species
UCAUGUUCAUCUCAACACCUGUUCAUCUUUGCACUACGGGCCAAAGAUAUUCAUCAAGAAAUCAUUCGUCUUUGCACUACAGGACAAAGAUAUUCAGUAAUAUCAUCAUUUAGGACUGAAGAUGAUGAAAAAUAUUUUAAAGGAAACGAAUCCAGUGAAACAAAAGAACAAAUAUUAAGGAUUCGUAUUUUAAACAAUCCAAGUUCAAAAAUAC